rnacentral:rRNA from 1 species
UACGGAGGAUGCAAGCGUUAUCCGGAAUGAUUGGGCGUAAAGCGUCCGCAGGUGGCAAUGUAAGUCUGCUGUUAAAGAGUCUAGCUCAACUAGAUAAAAGCGAGUGGAACUACAUAGCUAGAGGUACGUUCGGGGCAGAGGGAAUUCCUGGUGUAGGCGGUGAAAAUGCGUAGAGAUCAGGAAGAACACCAGUGGCGAAGGCGGUCUGCUGGGCGGUGGGCUCGCGAGGAUCCAAUAGCCGACACUGGAGGCGCGGACAGCGUGGGGAGCAAACAGG